rnacentral:rRNA from 1 species
GAUGAACGCUGGCGGCGUGCCUAACACAUGCAAGUCGAGCGAACAAACGAGAAGAUUGUUCCCCUUCUUUUAGCGACGGACGGAAGAGUAACAAGUCGAUAACCUACUUAUAAUCCGGGGCUAAUUACGGUAAACAGCAGCUAAUACCGCAUAAUAUGUUUAACUGCAUGGAUCAACAGCGUUAAAGGGCUUUGCCGUUACUUUUAGAUGCAGCCGCGCCCGAUCAGCUGCUGGGUAAGGUAACGCCCUAUCCACGCUACGAAGCGUAGCCGACCUGAGAGGAUGAUCAGCCACAGUGGAACUGAGACACGGUCCAGACUCCUACGGGAGGCAGCAGUGGGAAAUGUUCAAGAAUGGGCGGAAGCCUGAUACAGCAACGCCGCGUGCGUGAUGAAGGGCUUCGGAUCGUAAAGCACUGUUAUUAGGGAAGAAAAGAAGGGAAAGAAGAACCGCCCGUCUUGACGUUACCUAAUCAGUAAGCCACGGCUAACUACGUG